UGGGGAAUAUUGCACAAUGGAGGGAACUCUGAUGCAGCGAUGCCGCGUGAGGGAAGAAGGUUUUCGGAUUGUAAACCUCUGUCGUCGGGAACGAUAAUGACGGUACCCGACAAGGAAGCUCCGGCUAACUACGUGCCAGCAGCCGCGGUAAUACGUAGGGAGCGAGCGUUGUCCGGAAUUACUGGGUGUAAAGGGUGUGUAGGUGGCAAUGCAAGUCAGAUGUGAAAUGUAUGGGCUCAACCCAUGAACUGCAUUUGAAACUGCGUUGCUUGAGUGAAGUAGAGGCAGGCGGAAUUCCCGGUGUAGCGGUGGAAUGCGUAGAUAUUGGGAAGAACACCGGCGGCGAAGGCGAUCUGCUGGACUGUAACUGACACUGAGGCACGAAAGCGUGGGGAGCAAA
rnacentral:rRNA from 1 species